GAUUAACGCUGGCGGCGUGCAUAACACAUGCAAGUCGAACGAAGUGGCGGACGGGCGAGUAACGCGUGAGUAACCUGCCUUAGAGAUGGGGAUAGCCUCUGGAAACGGAGAAUAAUACCCAAGGCUCUAAGCGGGACUUGCGUCUGAUUAGCUAGUUGGUGAGAUAAUAGCUCACCAAGGCAACGAUCAGUAGCCGGCUUGAGAGAGUGUACGUCCACAUUGGGACUGCGGCACUGCCCAGACUCUACGGGAGGCAGCAGUGGGGAAUUGUGCACAAUGGGGGAAACCCUGAUGCAGCGACGCCGCGUGAUUUAGAAGGCCUUCGGGUUGUAAACCGCUUUCAGCCAUGACGCGGUAGUGGCAGAAGAAGCACCGGCUAACUACGUGCCAGCAGCCGCGGUAAUAC
rnacentral:rRNA from 1 species